rnacentral:rRNA from 1 species
UACAGAGGGGGCCAGCGUUAUUCGGAAUUAUUGGGCGUAAAGAGCUCGUAGGCGGCUUGUCACGUCGGGUGUGAAAGCCCGGGGCUUAACCCCGGGUCUGCAUUCGAUACGGGCUAGCUAGAGUGUGGUAGGGGAGAUCGGAAUUCCUGGUGUAGCGGUGAAAUGCGCAGAUAUCAGGAGGAACACCGGUGGCGAAGGCGGAUCUCUGGGCCAUUACUGACGCUGAGGAGCGAAAGCGUGGGGAGCGAACAGG